AGAGUUUGAUCCUGGCUCAGGAUGAACGCUGGCGGCGUGCCUAAUACAUGCAAGUCGAACGCACAGCGAAAGGUGCUUGCACCUUUCAAGUGAGUGGCGAACGGGUGAGUAACACGUGGACAACCUGCCUCAAGGCUGGGGAUAACAUUUGGAAACAGAUGCUAAUACCGAAUAAAACUCAGUGUCGCAUGACACAAAGUUAAAAGGCGCUUUGGCGUCACCUAGAGAUGGAUCCGCGGUGCAUUAGUUAGUUGGUGGGGUAAAGGCCUACCAAGACAAUGAUGCAUAGCCGAGUUGAGAGACUGAUCGGCCACAUUGGGACUGAGACACGGCCCAAACUCCUACGGGAGGCUGCAGUAGGGAAUCUUCCACAAUGGGCGAAAGCCUGAUGGAGCAACGCCGCGUGUGUGAUGAAGGCUUUCGGGUCGUAAAGCACUGUUGUAUGGGAAGAACAGCUAGAAUAGGGAAUGAUUUUAGUUUGACGGUACCAUACCAGAAAGGGACGGCUAAAUACGUGCCAGCAGCCGCGGUAAUACGUAUGUCCCGAGCGUUAUCCGGAUUUGUUGGGCGUAAAGCGAGCGCAGACGGUUGAUUAAGUCUGAUGUGAAAGCCCGGAG
rnacentral:rRNA from 1 species